rnacentral:tmRNA from 1 species
GGGGGCGACAUGGUUUCGACGGAGGCAGUUGAGGCCACGAGUUGCAUGCCGGGGUCCUAUCGGCCCGUUAUCCGGUGGGGACUAAAGUAAUCGCAGACGAUUACGCAUACGCCGUUGCCGCGUAAAUAAGGCAACCGUCCUCCCAGCCCAUUCCUGCGGGGCUGGAGCGGGCGUCGACUAGCAGGAUAGGCAGCGGGCAGCGCCACACCGGCCCGCAACCGAAACGCCAGGUGGGGCUGGCCGCAACAGAACCCUGUCCGUGGGGGCCCGGGGCGGCGAGAACAAAGCACGGAAUAAGCAUGUAGAGGCUUGGGCUGAAAGCUUUCGGACGGGGGUUCGAUUCCCCCCGCCUCCACCA